GAGUUAAGUCCCGUAACGAGCGCAACCCUUGUCCUUAGUUACCAGCGCCUCGGGUGGGCACUCUAAGGAGACUGCCGGUGACAAACCGGAGGAAGGUGGGGAUGACGUCAAGUCAUCAUGGCCCUUACGGCCAGGGCUACACACGUGCUACAAUGGUCGGUACAAAGGGUUGCCAAGCCGCGAGGUGGAGCUAAUCCCAUAAAACCGAUCGUAGUCCGGAUCGCAGUCUGCAACUCGACUGCGUGAAGUCGGAAUCGCUAGUAAUCGUGAAUCAGAAUGUCACGGUGAAUACGUUCCCGGGCCUUGUACACACCGCCCGUCACACCAUGGGAGUGGGUUGCUCCAGAAGUAGCUAGUCUAACCGCAAGGGGGACGGUUAACCAUCGGAAUUAAUCCUUAUUUCCA
rnacentral:rRNA from 1 species